AUCGCUUCUCGGCCUUUUGGCUCAGAUCAAGUGUAGUAUCUGUUCUUAUCAGUUUAAUAUCUGAUACCUCCCCCAUCGGGG
rnacentral:snRNA from 8 species